UACUCCAAGACCUACUUACAUCUGGCGACGAGGAAAAUAGGUCCCAAAGAUGUCACACCUUUCACUGGAAAAGUUCGGCUGUAACGGUGAAUCUAUCUCAAUGGAUGCACGAUGGACGCAAUGGAAACGAGCACUAUUCAUUUACCUCGAAGCGUCUUUCAUUGACAAAGACGUAAAGAAAAGGGCCUCUCUUCUACAUUUCGGCGGGCUAGACUUACAGGAUGUAUUUUACAACAUUCCUGGGGCUAAUGUUGAACCAACUGAAGGCUCCUUAAACAAGAAUCUGACAAAAAAAUGAAAAAUU